GAUGAACGCUGACAGAAUGCUUAACACAUGCAAGUCUACUUGAAGCUAACUUCGGUUAGUGGAGGGUGGCGGACGGGUGAGUAACGCGUAAAGAACUUGCCUCACAGUUUGGGACAACAUUUGGAAACGAAUGCUAAUACCGGAUAUUAUGAUACUUCUGCAUGGAAGAAUCAUGAAAGCUAUAUGCGCUGUGAGAGAGCUUUGCGUCCCAUUAGCUAGUUGGAGAGGUAACGGCUCACCAAGGCGAUGAUGGGUAGCCGGCCUGAGAGGGUGAACGGCCACAAGGGGACUGAGACACGGCCCUUACUCCUACGGGAGGCAGCAGUGGGGAAUAUUGGACAAUGGUCCAAAAGUCUGAUCCAGCAAUUCUGUGUGCACGAUGAAGUUUUUCGGAAUGUAAAGUGCUUUCAGUUGGGAAGAAGCAAGUGACGGUACCAACAGAAGAAGCGACGGCUAAAUACGUGCCAGCAGCCGCGGUAAUACGUAUGUCGCAAGCGUUAUCCGGAUUUAUUGGGCGUAAAGCGCGUCUAGGUGGUUAUAUAAGUCUGAUGUGAAAAUGCGGGGCUCAACUCCGUAUUGCGUUGGAAACUGUAUGACUAGAGUACUGGAGAGGUAAGCGGAACUACAAGUGUAGAGGUGAAAUUCGUAGAUAUUUGUAGGAAUGCCGAUGGGGAAGCCAGCUUACUGGACAGAUACUGACGCUAAAGCGCGAAAGCGUGGGUAGCAAACAGG
rnacentral:rRNA from 1 species